rfam:Synechococcus sp. WH 8102 complete genome.
GCCGGCUUAGCUCAGCGGUAGAGCAGCGCUUUUGUAAAGCGAAGGUCAUCGGUUCAAAUCCGUUAGCCGGCU